AUCUUGAGUAACUCAGGAGUGUACAACACCAUGCAACCCCACCCUUCUUCAGGUUACUUCAAAUUAACAACUACAAUUAUGUUGGAUGCUACAUAGAUUGUCUUUUAGACAUUUUCCUUCUUCAGGUUACUUCAAAUUAACAACUACAAUUAUGUUGGAUGCUACCCAGAUUGUCUGUUAGACAUUUUCCUUCUUCAGGUUACUUCAAAU